GUAAGGCAACGGGUUUUGGUCCCGUUACUCGGAGGUUCGAAUCCUUCCGUCCCAGA
rnacentral:tRNA from 3 species